rnacentral:rRNA from 1 species
CGUAGGAGGCGAGCGUUAUCCGGAUUCACUGGGCGUAAAGCGCGUGCAGGCGGUUUGGUAAGUUGGGCGUGAAAGCUCCCGGCUCAACUGGGAGAGGUCGUUCAAUACUACCAAACUAGAGAGUAGAAGAGGAAGAUGGAAUUCCCGGUGUAGUGGUGAAACGCGUAGAUAUCGGGAGGAACACCAGUGGCGAAGGCGAUCUUCUGGUCUAUUUCUGACGCUCAGACGCGACAGCUAGGGUAGUAAACGGGAUUAGAGACCCCGGUAAUCCUAGCCGUAAACGAUGUGAACUUGGCGUCAGUGGCUUAAACACCAUCGGUGCCGAAGCAAACGCGGUAAGUUCACCGCCUGGGGACUACGGCCGCAAGGUU